UAUGUUGGUACCAAGUCGUGAGCUGUCUACGUCAUUUUCGUUUUGGCGGACUCUGAAUGUGAUUGUGAUGAUCGUGGAAUGUGCCGUGAGUCACAACGGCCGCUUACGCGAGUGUCUUUUCUAUUUUAUUAGCGUUAGCUUUAUUAUUCUAUGAUGGAACGGAAAGGCUCAAAAGGAAAAUUCGAUGGCCUCAUCGAGAAAGGGUCUAAAGGUGACCUUUUAGCGGAGAAAGUUAGAAGGAUCAAAAGGAAACUUUCGGAAAGGAAUGUACAUAACGUACCUGCGCUGACCAUCUCUUGCUUGAUUGUCAACGAAAUGAGUGAUAAUGAGAUCUUAAGUGUUCUCUCUACUAAAAAAGAGAGGACAUCUCCUCCUCCUCCACCACCGCCACACGUGACACCUCCAAUUUAUGGCCUACCUGGAUACCCAUACGCAUACCCUUAUGGAUAUCCUCCAUUUUCUUAUGGAAUGGCCACGACAACGGCAAGGGCCCCGCCAGCAGCCCCGCCAGCCGCCGCCCCGCCAGCCGCCGCCCCGCCAGCCGCCGCCCCGCCAGCCGCCGCCCGCCAGCCGCCGCCCCGCCAGCCGCCGCCCCGCCAGCCGCCGCCCCGCCAGCGGCUCCGCCAACCCUACCAACUGCAACGGUUGAUGCGAGCACGGUAUGAAUAAUCUAUAUGGACGGUGUGAGUCGGCAAUCACAAAACUCGUUUGAGGUGUCUAAAAAUCUACGCACCCAUGUUAUUUU
rnacentral:lncRNA from 1 species